GGAGGCAUAGCUCAGUUGGUUAGAUCACUUGCUCGACAAGCAAGGGGCCGCUGGUUCGAGUCCAGCUGUCUCCACCA
rnacentral:tRNA from 1 species